rnacentral:rRNA from 1 species
UACAGAGGGGGCUAGCGUUGUUCGGAAUUACUGGGCGUAAAGGGCGCGUAGGCGGCCUGUUAAGUCGAACGUGAAAUCCCCGGGCUCAACCCGGGAACUGCGUCCGAUACUGGCAGGCUUGAAUUCGGGAGAGGGAUGCGGAAUUCCAGGUGUAGCGGUGAAAUGCGUAGAUAUCUGGAGGAACACCGGUGGCGAAGGCGGCAUCCUGGACCGAGAUUGACGCUGAGGCGCGAAAGCCAGGGGAGCAAACGGG